rnacentral:misc_RNA from 1 species
GGGUUGUUACACAUAUGGUCCAUUUUCUUGUCAUUUAAUUUCAUUUUUUCAUCAAAUUCCAACUUCACUCAAGUAUUUAAAUCAUAAGAUAAAGAGAAAUUGAAGAAUAAAUACUAACCUCACUUGGCACUUUUCAAAUCUUCAAAUCCUUUCUCUUUUCUUCAAAAUUUCUUCUUCAAUUCUCCUUCUCAAGUUGCAAGAGCAAGGUUUAUUUAAAAAUUUGGGGGAUUUUAUGGCUAAUUUGGGGGUUUGAAAAGCUUGAAAUCAAGCUUUAAUGGAGGACAAAAAAAAAACAAGAGAGAGAGAAUGGAGAUGGUGUCGUCCAUGAGGUUGAAGGAAAUGAAAAUUAGUUUUUCAAUUUCAUGUUUUUAUGUCUUAUUUUUGACUUAGUCAAAUUAUAAUUAAAUAAUUUUUAUUUAUGAUGUCAUGGGUGAAGUCACAACAUGAUGUCAUUAAUUCCAUUUUCUUUUCUUUUUCUUUUUCCUUUAUUUUUUCAUUCUUCUUUAAUUUAAUUAUACAUUCUGAAAUUUUCAUUUCUUCGAUUUUAUUAGACAGUUAGGUCAGGAGUCACCUCUAGGAGGUGAAUUGACCAAUUUGCCCUUCACCGAAUUGAUCCGGUUUAUAAAUAAUUUGAUAUUUCUUUCGGAGUCCUAACUUAAUUAUUCGAUCUACUUCUCAGCUCUUUUCCGUGAUUUUUUCUUUUUCACUAGGUUCGCAAUAGUCUUUAGGACCGUGGCAUCACAAUUUCCCCUUUAAAAUUAGGGUUAGGAUUGACCUCGCAGUCACUUCCCGGGAAGGUCACCCAUCGCUGUGACCAUCGGCUCAUUUAACUUUUUAUGCUU